UACGUAGGGCGCAAGCGUUGUCCGGAAUUAUUGGGCGUAAAGAGCUCGUAGGUGGCUUGUCACGUCGGGUGUGAAAGCUUGGGGCUUAACUCCAGGUCUGCAUUCGAUACGGGCUGGCUAGAGGUAGGUAGGGGAGAACGGAAUUCCUGGUGUAGCGGUGAAAUGCGCAGAUAUCAGGAGGAACACCGGUGGCGAAGGCGGUUCUCUGGGCCUUACCUGACGCUGAGGAGCGAAAGCGUGGGUAGCAAACAGG
rnacentral:rRNA from 1 species